AAUAAGAUGCCUGAAUUAAAGGGCUAUUUUGAUAGAAUAGAUCAUGUAUUAAUAUACUCUUAUUA
rnacentral:tRNA from 1 species